GAAAAAUGCAGGCUUGGGAAAGCGGUUUCUCUGUUAUUUAAUGACAAUUUUGUUUCUGCCGAACUAUUAAAGUUCGGUAACCACCCAUACUUCAGGGCUGCAACUUAGUAGAAAAUUGGAAUCUGGUGGAAAGUGAGAAUUGGACGUUAUUCUUUUAAAUGGUAAUCAAGUAGCCAUGUUGUGAACAACACUAUGAAGAGACUCAUAUGGCAAGGAACCUAUGUCUCUAGACAAUGGCCAGUGAGAACCUGAAGCCUGCCAACAGCUAUGCAGUGAACCUGGAAGUGGGUUAUCUACCAGCAGAGAGAGCUUUGAGAGGACCGCUGCUUUGGUUGAUCCCUUGAUCUCAGCCUUGUGAGAGACCCUGAUCCAGAACUACCUCAUUAUACCAUUUCUACAUUCUUAAGUACACAGAAGUUAUGAGAUAAUAAAUGCUUAUUGUUUUCA